rnacentral:rRNA from 1 species
GUCGUAACAAGGUUUCCGUAGGUGAACCUGCGGAAGGAUCAUUACCGAGUGAGGGCCCUCUGGGUCCAACCUCCCACCCGUGUUUAUUUUACCUUGUUGCUUCGGCGGGCCCGCCUUAACUGGCCGCCGGGGGGCUCACGCCCCCGGGCCCGCGCCCGCCGAAGACACCCUCGAACUCUGUCUGAAGAUUGAAGUCUGAGUGAAAAUAUAAAUUAUUUAAAACUUUCAACAACGGAUCUCUUGGUUCCGGCAUCGAUGAAGAACGCAGCGAAAUGCGAUACGUAAUGUGAAUUGCAAAUUCAGUGAAUCAUCGAGUCUUUGAACGCACAUUGCGCCCCCUGGUAUUCCGGGGGGCAUGCCUGUCCGAGCGUCAUUGCUGCCCUCAAGCCCGGCUUGUGUGUUGGGCCCCGUCCUCCGAUCUCCGGGGGACGGGCCCGAAAGGCAGCGGCGGCACCGCGUCCGGUCCUCGAGCGUAUGGGGCUUUGUCACCCGCUCUGUAGGCCCGGCCGGCGCUUGCCGAUCAACCCAAAUUUUUAUCCAGGUUGACCUCGGAUCAGGUAGGGAUACCCGCUGAACUUAAGCAUAUCAAUAA